GGAGAAAACGAAAAAAGGGAGAGAAAUCCCACAAGAAAAACGCCCGCAAGAGAAACUCGCCCACGCGAGCACCGUGCACUGUGCGCGUGCUUGCGCGUACGACCAAGCACAGGACUUGCGCAUUGUGCGCACGUCCCAUCCGUGUGGGGCAGGGGACUGGUCGGCGUGCGUAUCUUGCCGCGCGCGAACAAGGCUAAGUGUCCCGCACCUUAUAUGUG
rnacentral:lncRNA from 1 species